GUUGGAAAUGUUAAUCGGUCAUCUGAACAGCAAUUACCAGAGUUACUUCCUAAUAUCCCUUUGGAUUUGAGGUCUGUGCCUGCUGCAGACAGUGGAAAUACUCAAAGGCAGCCUGUUGUAAUGCAUGCUUCGUCUCUGCAUCGACGUGCACAGACUAGGUGGAGUUCAGCAUCAAGUUCCAGAACUGGCAGCUCAUCAAGUUCUGCGCGAGAGAGAAAUUCAGUAACAUUUGAAGAGCCUAACUCAAGAAUUGUGUCAAGAAACAUCUCACAACAUCCUAUGUUCAUACCUUCAACUAAUGGGAGAAACUUGAACCAAAAUCCUGCCAGCUUGAAUUUAGCUGGAAGAAAUGUUUCUGUUGCUGGAAAUGUCGCAUCCAGUUCAGGGGUCCAGUCAUCUUCUCCUACUAGGGUUCUCCACAGAUCUCCUCAAUAUCACCGGAGGCUGUCAGAAUUAGUCCGUAGAUCGUUGUUAUCUCCAGCUAGCGCUGGAUCUGGAGGUGUUAAUGGUAAUAGUCGUCCACUACGUUUGAGUUCUCCUAUCUCACAGGAGAUGGAACUUCCUGGAAACCAUGAGCAUCGCACA
rnacentral:misc_RNA from 1 species